rnacentral:rRNA from 1 species
AGAGUUUGAUCAUGGCUCAGAUUGAACGCUGGCGGCAGGCCUAACACAUGCAAGUCGAGCGGUAGAGAGAAGCUUGCUUCUCUUGAGAGCGGCAGACGGGUGAGUAAUGCCUAGGAAUCUGCCUGGUAGUGGGGGAUAACGUUCGGAAACGAACGCUAAUACCGCAUACGUCCUACGGGAGAAAGCAGGGGACCUUCGGGCCUUGCGCUAUAAGAUGAGCCUAGGUCGGAUUAGCUAGUUGGUGAGGUAAUGGCUCACCAAGGCGACGAUCCGUAACUGGUCUGAGAGGAUGAUCAGUCACACUGGAACUGAGACACGGUCCAGACUCCUACGGGAGGCAGCAGUGGGGAAUAUUGGACAAUGGGCGAAAGCCUGAUCCAGCCAUGCCGCGUGUGUGAAGAAGGUCUUCGGAUUGUAAAGCACUUUAAGUUGGGAGGAAGGGCAUUAACCUAAUACGUUAGUGUUUUGACGUUACCGACAGAAUAAGCACCGGCUAACUCUGUGCCAGCAGCCGCGGUAAUACAGAGGGUGCAAGCGUUAAUCGGAAUUACUGGGCGUAAAGCGCGCGUAGGUGGUUUGUUAAGUUGGAUGUGAAAUCCCCGGGCUCAACCUGGGAACUGCAUUCAAAACUGACUGACUAGAGUAUGGUAGAGGGUGGUGGAAUUUCCUGUGUAGCGGUGAAAUGCGUAGAUAUAGGAAGGAACACCAGUGGCGAAGGCGACCACCUGGACUAAUACUGACACUGAGGUGCGAAAGCGUGGGGAGCAAACAGGAUUAGAUACCCUGGUAGUCCACGCCGUAAACGAUGUCAACUAGCCGUUGGAAGCCUUGAGCUUUUAGUGGCGCAGCUAACGCAUUAAGUUGACCGCCUGGGGAGUACGGCCGCAAGGUUAAAACUCAAAUGAAUUGACGG